ACGUAGCUAACGCGUGAAGUUGACCGCCCUGGGGAGUACGGUCGCAAGAUUAAAACUCAAAGGAAUUGACGGGGACCCGCACAANCGGUGGAUGAUGUGGAUUAAUUCGAUGCAACGCGAAAAACCUUACCUACCCUUGACAUGUACGGAAGUCUGCCGAGAGGUGGAUGUGCUCGAAAGAGAACCGUAACACAGGUGCUGCAUGGCUGUCGUCAGCUCGUGUCGUGAGAUGUUGGGUUAAGUCCCGCAACGAGCGCAACCCUUGUCCCUAGUUGCUACGCAAGAGCACUCUAGGGAGACUGCCGGUGACAAACCGGAGGAAGGUGGGGAUGACGUCAAGUCCUCAUGGCCCUUAUGGGUAGGGCUUCACACGUCAUACAAUGGUCGGAACAGAGGGUUGCCAAGCCGCCGAGGUGGAGCCAAUCCCAGAAAACCGAUCGUAGUCCGGAUCGCACUCUGCAACUCGAGUGCGUGAAGCUGGAAUCGCUAGUAAUCGCGGAUCAGCAUG
rnacentral:rRNA from 1 species